rnacentral:tRNA from 1 species
ACCUCUGUGGCAGAGUGGUAAAGAGCGCUGACUCUCAAUCCGGAGGUGCUGGGUUCGAAUCCCAGCUGGAGCG